AGUUUGCAAAGAGAACCGUUAAAUUUCAUGUUCAUUGGACGCGAACAAGUUGCAUACAGGUGUGCAAUAUUUUUUAUUUUUUGGCACGAACGGAACUCCACACGCAGAUGCUCGUUCUGUAAGAUCUCCAUUUAGCAUUUUUAAAUUAUUGUCUGUAGGCUGCUGGUCCAUGGGAAGGUAGCUGCUAAGCUAAUAGAUAAUUUUGCUGUUAGCAUCACUUCCGGUUAGCUCGGAUGCUAAGUUGUCAGCACAUUGUGAUAAAAGUCGGUGAAAACUCGUGUUUGUGAGCGUCAUGUAAGAGUGUCAGUUUGUAACAUGACUCGGAGCGUCACAGGCGGAAGGUCAAGGAGCAGCAGGACGGAACGGAAGCGGGAGUAAAAAAAAAAAAAAAAAAAAAAGAAGCCUAUCCGCCAUUGUGGAAUAGAGUGAGAGGGAUAUUCCAGUUGGGCACUCAGACCUAAAGGACAAGGAGGAAAUAAAGUGCAAAACGGAUCAAUGCAUCAAAAAGAUGGUGUGAACGAUGAUGAUUUCGAGCCUUACCUAAGCGGCCAGACAAAUCAGG